rnacentral:rRNA from 1 species
AGCGAACGCUGGCGGCAGGCCUAACACAUGCAAGUCGAACGAACUCUUCGGAGUUAGUGGCGGACGGGUGAGUAACACGUGGGAACGUGCCUUUAGGUUCGGAAUAACUCAGGGAAACUUGUGCUAAUACCGAAUGUGCCCUUCGGGGGAAAGAUUUAUCGCCAUUAGAGCGGCCCGCGUCUGAUUAGCUAGUUGGUGAGGUAAAGGCUCACCAAGGCGACGAUCAGUAGCUGGUCUGAGAGGAUGAUCAGCCACAUUGGGACUGAGACACGGCCCAAACUCCUACGGGAGGCAGCAGUGGGGAAUCUUGCGCAAUGGGCGAAAGCCUGACGCAGCCAUGCCGCGUGAAUGAUGAAGGUCUUAGGAUUGUAAAAUUCUUUCACCGGAGACGAUAAUGACGGUACCCGGAGAAGAAGCCCCGGCUAACUUCGUG